rnacentral:rRNA from 1 species
GACGAACGCUGGCGGCGUGCUUAACACAUGCAAGUCGAACGAAAAGCGAUGGAAGCUUGCUGCUAUCAGUCUUGGUGGCGGACGGGUGAGUAACGCGUAAUCAACCUUCCCUUCUGGGGGGGACAACAGUAGGAAACGACUGCUAAUACCGCAUGCGCUCCGAGCUUGGCAUCGGGGGUGGAGGAAAGGUGGCCUCUAUUGAUAAGCCGUCACUGCAGGAGGGGGGUGCGUCAGAUGAGCUCGAUGGAGGGGUAAGGGCCCACCAAGGCAAUGAUCAGUAGCCGGACGGAGAGGAUGGACGGCCACCUUGGGACUGAGACACGGCCCAGACGCCUACGGGAGGCAGCAGUAGGGAAUCUUCAGCAAUGGGUGAGAGUCUGACGGAGCAACGCCGAGGCAGUGAUGACGGCCGUCGCGUUGUAAAGCUCGGUUAAUCGGGACGAAAGGUCUUCUUGCGAAUAGGUAGAAGAAUUGACGGUACCGGAAAAGAAAGCAACGGCUAACUACGUG